GCUUUUUCUGCAUCUAAGGAUAUGGUCAUUUAAUUUUUUUUUCCACGAUCAUCUCCUUAGAUGCA
rnacentral:miRNA from 1 species